GCUGGGCAUGGUGGCGUGUGCCUGUAAUCCCAGCUACUCAGGAGGCUGAGGCAGGAGAAUCGCUGGAACUCAGGAGGCAGAGGGUGCAGUGAGCCGAGAUUGGACCACUGCACUCCAGCCUGGGUGACACAGCAAGACUCUAUCUCAA
rnacentral:SRP_RNA from 1 species